CAGCCGCCGCGGGAAUACGUAGGGUGCAAGCGUUAAUCGGAAUUACUGGGCGUAAAGCGUGCGCAGGCGGUUUGUUAAGACAGAUGUGAAAUCCCCGGGCUCAACCUGGGAACUGCAUUUGUGACUGGCAGGCUAGAGUAUGGCAGAGGGGGGUGGAAUUCCGCGUGUAGCAGUGAAAUGCGUAGAUAUGCGGAGGAACACCGAUGGCGAAGGCAGCCCCCUGGGCCAAUACUGACGCUCAUGCACGAAAGCGUGGGGAGCAAACAGGAUUAGAUACCCCCGUAGUCCCUGUCUCUUAUAC
rnacentral:rRNA from 1 species